rnacentral:tRNA from 1 species
CUGACUCUGGUUAAGUGGUUAAGACUCUGCACUUCCAAUGCAGGGGACACAGGUUUGAUCCCUGGUCAGG